CCACACUCCUUCAAUUCAGUAGUUAGUUACAUUUAGCUAGAUUACAUAUUGUGUGUUAUUUCUUAUCAUUGUGUAAAUAAAUACUUUGAUUAUUGUGGGUGCAGCCUAGCUCACUCACUAGCUUUAGGACCUCAAAGUUCUUUCGUACUCGACACAAAAGUUCAGAAACAAGAGUCUGUAUUCCGAAAUUCUUCUUUUGUAAGUUUACUUAAAAUGAUUCAAAUAAUACAGUAUAAAAUUCAGGAUUAUACUUUUCUAACAAGUUAACUGGCAUUAGGUGUAGAUAAAAAGACUGUGUUGCUCCAAGGUCCAAUAGCUUCUGACUGCUUCGCUGUGUUUCUUGUUGUUUCAUAUCAAAUCAAACAGCCAAUCAAAUUACGUUAUUCUUAGCGUCACUGGUCAACUAUCAAUAUUUCCAUUUCUACAUUACACAUGCAACACAAUGUCUUCUUAGUUCUCAUAAGUAUCAUUCAAUCUUACAUUUUCAAUCUACAAUUAUUACAAAACUGUUAUUUCCACAGAAAUGCCUUCAACAAUUAUAUACGCUGGUCUAUUUAAUGUUACGCAAGAAUGGACGUUGUCAACCUCUUCUAUUCAGAACUCUAAUGACCUUCAACCUUGCUAUUAAUAAGGUGUCCAAUCGGGUGAGACUAUCAACAUAUUGUUGCUGUUGCAAGGACAGCACCAGUGUGCCCUCGCGAAGAGGGUAUCACAAAUUGCACCCACAUUCACCCGGCGCCUGCUCACAGGCGCAAGAAAGUCCGUCCAGAGCCAGUGCCAGAAGCGGUGUUUUCCAGACUGUACUCCAGAGCAGGGGUUCUCAAACUUUUGCAAGCUGGGCCCCCCCAAAGCUGGUUAGGGGUAGUUGGGGCCCCCCCAGCGCGCGGCCCGCCGCCACCACCCUCAACUACACCACCAUAUAUAGAUAGAUAGAUAGAUAGAU
ensembl:lncRNA